UACGUAGGGUGCGAGCGUUAAUCGGAAUUACUGGGCGAAAGCGUGCGCAGGCGGCGCGUUAAGACAGGUGUGAAAGCCCCGAGCUUAACUUGGGAAUUGCGCUUGUGACUGGCGUGCUGGAGUGUGGCAGAGGGAGGUGGAAUUCCACGUGUAGCAGUGAAAUGCGUAGAGAUGUGGAGGAACACCGAUGGCGAAGGCAGCCUCCUGGGCCAGCACUG
rnacentral:rRNA from 1 species